rnacentral:rRNA from 1 species
AGUCACGACGCAUAUCAAUAAGCGGAGGAAAAGAAACCAACAGGGAUUGCCUCAGUAACGGCGAGUGAAGCGGCAAGAGCUCAAAUUUGAAAGCUGGCCCCUUCGGGGUCCGCGUUGUAAUUUGCAGAGGAUGCUUCGGGUGCAGCCCCCGUCUAAGUGCCCUGGAACGGGCCGUCAUAGAGGGUGAGAAUCCCGUCUGGGACGGGGUGUCUGCGUCCGUGUGAAGCUCCUUCGACGAGUCGAGUUGUUUGGGAAUGCAGCUCUAAAUGGGUGGUAAAUUUCAUCUAAAGCUAAAUACUGGCCGGAGACCGAUAGCGCACAAGUAGAGUGAUCGAAAGAUGAAAAGCACUUUGAAAAGAGAGUUAAACAGCACGUGAAAUUGUUGAAAGGGAAGCGUUUGCGACCAGACUCGCCCGCGGGGUUCAGCCGGCAUUCGUGCCGGUGUACUUCCCCGUGGGCGGGCCAGCGUCGGUUUGGGCGGCCGGUCAAAGGCCCUCGGAAUGUAUCACCUCUCGGGGUGUCUUAUAGCCGAGGGUGCAAUGCGGCCUGCCUGGACCGAGGAACGCGCUUCGGCUCGGACGCUGGCGUAAUGGUC